CGUGUAGGCGGGGAUGUAAGUCAGAUGUGAAAUACCCAGGCUUAACUUGGGGACUGCAUCUGAAACUAUAUUUCUUGAGUGUCGGAGAGGAAAGUGGAAUUCCCAGUGUAGCGGUGAAAUGCGUAGAUAUUGGGAGGAACACCAGUGGCGAAGGCGACUUUCUGGACGAUAACUGACGCUGAGGCGCGAAAGCGUGGGGAGCAAACAGGAUUAGAUACCCUGGUAGUCCACGCUGUAAACGAUGGAUACUAGGUGUAGGAGGUAUCGACCCCUUCUGUGCCGGAGUUAACACAAUAAGUAUCCCACCUGGGGAGUACGGCCGCAAGGUUGAA
rnacentral:rRNA from 1 species